CCUACGGGCGGCAGCAGUGGGGAAUAUUGGUCAAUGUGUGCAAGUCUGACCCAGCAAAGCCGCGUGAAGGAAGAAGGCUCUCGGGUUUGAAACUUCCUUUUGCAGGGAAGUGUAGAAGACGGUAUCUGACCAAUAAUCCACGGCUAACUACGUGCCAGCAGCUGCGUUAAUACGUAGGUGGCAAGCGUUAUCCGGAUUUAUUGGGUGUAAAGGGCGUGUAGCCGGGUUGACAAGUCAGAUGUGAAAUCUUGGGGCUUAACCGCAGAACUGCAUUUGAAACUGUUGAUCUUGAGUACAGGGGGGGCAGAUGGAAUUCAUGGUGUAGCGGUGAAAUGCGUAGAUAUUAGGAGGAACACCGGUGGCGAAGGCGGUUUGCUGGACAGCAACUGACGGUGAGGCGCGAAAGCGUGGGGAGCAAACAGGAUUAGAUACCCUUGUAGUC
rnacentral:rRNA from 1 species